AACGAACGCUGGCGGCAUGCCUAACACAUGCAAGUCGAACGAGACCUUCGGGUCUAUUGGCGCACGGGUGCGUAACGCGUGGGAACCUGCCCUUAGGUUCGGAAUACCUCCCCGAAAGGGGUGCUAAUACCGGAUAAUGUCUUCGGACCAAAGAUUUAUCGCCUUUGGAUGGGCCCGCGUUGGAUUAGCUAGUUGGUAGGGUAAAAGCCUACCAAGGCGACGAUCCAUAGCUGGUCUGAGAGGAUGAUCAGCCACACUGGGACUGAGACACGGCCCAGACUCCUACGGGAGGCAGCAGUGGGGAAUAUUGGACAAUGGGCGAAAGCCUGAUCCAGCAAUGCCGCGUGAGUGAUGAAGGCCUUAGGGUUGUAAAGCUCUUUUACCCGGGAUGAUAAUGACAGUACCGGGAGAAUAAGCUCCGGCUAACUCCGUG
rnacentral:rRNA from 1 species